AGCGAACGCUGGCGGCAGGCUUAACACAUGCAAGUCGAGCGGGCACUUCGGUGUCAGCGGCAGACGGGUGAGUAACACGUGGGAACGUACCCUUUGGUUCGGAAUAACGCUGGGAAACUAGCGCUAAUACCGGAUACGCCCUUUUGGGGGAAGGCUUGCUGCCGAAGGAUCGGCCCGCGUCUGAUUAGCUAGUUGGUGGGGUAAUGGCCUACCAAGGCGACGAUCAGUAGCUGGUCUGAGAGGAUGAUCAGCCACACUGGGACUGAGACACGGCCCAGACUCCUACGGGAGGCAGCAGUAAUGAAUAUUGGACAAUGGGCGCAAGCCUGAUCCAGCCAUGCCGCGUGAGUGAUGAAGGCCUUAGGGUUGUAAAGCUCUUUUGUCCGGGACGAUAAUGACGGUACCGGAAGAAUAAGCCCCGGCUAACUUCGUG
rnacentral:rRNA from 1 species